ACCACGAAGUUAGGAAGCAGCGGAAGCGGGGAGCAAGUUCUUUGCCUCGCUCGGUGUUGCCUCAGGGUGUCUUUCCUGCGGCCUCUAAAAGGGCCGUUGGACGCUGAGAUGAUGAGUAAUGAUUACAAGGCGCAGCGGGCCGUCGUGUGGUCGCGUCGGUUCUCUCUGCUGUACGCGAUGGGAGUGUGGACGAUUAUUGGGUAUUUCGUUUCCCGGUCAGUGCGUUUCAGGGAGAUACCACUGGAGGAGAAGAAGAAAGGCGAGCAGUCGCCGCCGCCGUCGCCUCUCGAUCACAACGAAUAUUCCAGAAGUGUUUGACGGGAGCAGAAAAUCAAGACUGAAACUGAAUUCACAUUAACAGCAAAAACUACUUCAUCUGAUUUUGUGCCACAUUCUUCUCAUUUGCAUAAUAGAAUGCUUUCACUUUUUUGUUACAAUACUGGGAAAGAAAAGUAAAUUAUAUUAUAUUGAAAAAAAGCAAAGUAUCACAGUGUCUAUAACUUGUAUUAAAGAGUUGCAUGAGAUCUGAUUUUGAAACAACAGUAAUUGGAAAGUACUGUGUUCUGUCUGCCUAUCAUGAAACUGUAACCCUGCUUCAUCUUCAUGCAUUGGAAUAUAUUGAAUAUAAUUUUAUAUAUUUUCUUUUGUUUAUAAUUUAUUUUAAUACCUUUUCCUGAAAUUCUGCUAGCAUGUGUUUGAAAUCCUAAAGAAGAGUAAAUGUGAUUGAUUCCUUA